rnacentral:rRNA from 1 species
AUUGAACGCUGGCGGCGUGCUUAACACAUGCAUGUCGAUCGGUAACAGGUGUAGCAAUACAUGCUGACGAGAGGCGGACGGGUGAGUAAUGCUUGGGAAUCUGCCUAUUAGUGGGGGACGAACCCGGGGAAACGUCGGGCUAAUACCGCAUACGCUCUACGGAGGAAAGCCGGGACCGCAAGGCCUGGCGCUAAUAGAUGAGCCCAAGUCGGAUUAGCUAGUUGGAGGGUAACGGCCUACCAAGGCGACAAUCCGUAGCUGGUCUGAGAGGACGACCAGCCACACCGGAACUGAGACACGGUCCGGACUCCUACGGGAGGCAGCAGUGGGGAAUAUUGGACAAUGGGGGCGAACCCUCGAUCCAGCGACGCCGCGUGGGUGAAGAAGGCCCGCGGGUUGUAAA